GAUAGGCAAUGGAUCCUAUAGUUCAGAAUACACUCCAAUAAAUUUAGAGGAAUAUAGCCCAUUUUGGAUGGUCAAGUGUGAGAACUAUAGCGACCCUGAUCAUUGGGUACCAUUUGUACGUCGACGGAAAUACAUCAAGAGAAGAUUAAUGAUUGGAGCUGAUCACUUUAAUAGGGACCCAAAGAAAGGUCUAGAGUUUCUUCAAGGAACACAUCUAUUGCCGG
rnacentral:misc_RNA from 1 species